CGGCGAGCGAACGGGGAGCAGCCCAGAGCCUGAAUCAGUGUGUGUGUUAGUGGAAGCGUCUGGAAAGGCGUGCGAUACAGGGUGACAGCCCCGUACACAAAAAUGCACAUACUGUGAGCUCGAUGAGUAGGGCGGGACACGUGGUAUCCUGUCUGAAUAUGGGGGGACCAUCCUCCAAGGCUAAAUACUCCUGACUGACCGAUAGUGAACCAGUACCGUGAGGGAAAGGCGAAAAGAACCCCGGCGAGGGGAGUGAAAAAGAACCUGAAACCGUGUACGUACAAGCAGUGGGAGCCUCUUAAUGGGGUGACUGCGUACCUUUUGUAUAAUGGGUCAGCGACUUAUAUUCUGUAGCAAGGUUAACCGAAUAGGGGAGCCGAAGGGAAACCGAGUCUUAACUGGGCGUUAAGUUGCAGGGUAUAGACCCGAAACCCGGUGAUCUAGCCAUGGGCAGGUUGAAGGUUGGGUAACACUAACUGGAGGACCGAACCGACUAAUGUUGAAAAAUUAGCGGAUGACUUGUGGCUGGGGGUGAAAGGCCAAUCAAACCGGGAGAUAGCUGGUUCUCCCCGAAAGCUAUUUAGGUAGCGCCUCGUGAAUUCAUCUCCGGGGGUAGAGCACUGUUUCGGCAAGGGGGUCAUCCCGACUUACCAACCCGAUGCAAACUGCGAAUACCGGAGAAUGUUAUCACGGGAGACACACGGCGGGUGCUAACGUCCGUCGUGAAGAGGGAAACAACCCAGACCGCCAGCUAAGGUCCCAAAGUCAUGGUUAAGUGGGAAACGAUGUGGGAAGGCCCAGACAGCCAGGAUGUUGGCUUAGAAGCAGCCAUCAUUUAAAGAAAGCGUAAUAGCUCACUGGUCGAGUCGGCCUGCGCGGAAGAUGUAACGGGGCUAAACCAUG
rnacentral:rRNA from 1 species